rnacentral:rRNA from 1 species
UUUUAUGAGAGUUUGAUCCUGGCUCAGGACGAACGCUGGCGGCGUGCCUAAUACAUGCAAGUCGUACGCUUCUUUUUCCACCGGAGCUUGCUCCACCGGAAAAAGAAGAGUGGCGAACGGGUGAGUAACACGUGGGUAACCUGCCCAUCAGAAGGGGAUAACACUUGGAAACAGGUGCUAAUACCGUAUAACAAUCGAAACCGCAUGGUUUUGAUUUGAAAGGCGCUUUCGGGUGUCGCUGAUGGAUGGACCCGCGGUGCAUUAGCUAGUUGGUGAGGUAACGGCUCACCAAGGCCACGAUGCAUAGCCGACCUGAGAGGGUGAUCGGCCACAUUGGGACUGAGACACGGCCCAAACUCCUACGGGAGGCAGCAGUAGGGAAUCUUCGGCAAUGGACGAAAGUCUGACCGAGCAACGCCGCGUGAGUGAAGAAGGUUUUCGGAUCGUAAAACUCUGUUGUUAGAGAAGAACAAGGAUGAGAGUAACUGUUCAUCCCUUGACGGUAUCUAACCAGAAAGCCACGGCUAACUACGUGCCAGCAGCCGCGGUAAUACGUAGGUGGCAAGCGUUGUCCGGAUUUAUUGGGCGUAAAGCGAGCGCAGGCGGUUUCUUAAGUCUGAUGUGAAAGCCCCCGGCUCAACCGGGGAGGGUCAUUGGAAACUGGGAGACUUGAGUGCAGAAGAGGAGAGUGGAAUUCCAUGUGUAGCGGUGAAAUGCGUAGAUAUAUGGAGGAACACCAGUGGCGAAGGCGGCUCUCUGGUCUGUAACUGACGCUGAGGCUCGAAAGCGUGGGGAGCAAACAGGAUUAGAUACCCUGGUAGUCCACGCCGUAAACGAUGAGUGCUAAGUGUUGGAGGGUUUCCGCCCUUCAGUGCUGCAGCUAACGCAUUAAGCACUCCGCCUGGGGAGUACGACCGCAAGGUUGAAACUCAAAGGAAUUGACGGGGGCCCGCACAAGCGGUGGAGCAUGUGGUUUAAUUCGAAGCAACGCGAAGAACCUUACCAGGUCUUGACAUCCUUUGACCACUCUAGAGAUAGAGCUUCCCCUUCGGGGGCAAAGUGACAGGUGGUGCAUGGUUGUCGUCAGC